AGCAGCCGCGGUAAUUCCAGCUCCAAUAGCGUAUAUUAAAGUUGUUGCAGUUAAAAAGCUCGUAGUUGAAUUUCGGGAUCAAUUUAUCGGUCGUGCCAAUGGUAUGAACUGGUACAAUUGGUUUCUCCCUUCUGACGAAGCAUGAUGUCAUUAAUUUGGUGUCGUGGGGAAUCAGGACUGUUACUUUGAAAAAAUUAGAGUGUUUAAAGCAAGCAUUAGCUUGAAUACAUUAGCAUGGAAUAAUGAAAUAGGACGUUGACCCUAUUUUGUUGGUUUCUAGGAUUGACGUAAUGAUUAAUAGGGAUAGUUGGGGGCAUUAGUAUUCAAUUGUCAGAGGUGAAAUUCUUGGAUUUAUUGAAGACUAACUACUGCGAAAGCAUUUGCCAAGGAUGUUUUCAUUAAUCAAGAACGAAAGUUAGGGGAUCGAAGACGAUCAGAUACCGUCGUAGUCUUAACCAUAAACUAUGCCGACUAGGGAUCGGAUGAUGUUAUUUUUAAUGACUCA
rnacentral:rRNA from 1 species